rnacentral:rRNA from 1 species
AGAGUUUGAUCCUGGCUCAGAACGAACGCUGGCGGCAUGCCUAACACAUGCAAGUCAAACGAGACCUUCGGGUCUAGUGGCGCACGGGUGCGUAACACGUGGGAAUCUGCCCUUCGGUUCGGAAUAACAGUUAGAAAUGACUGCUAAUACCGGAUAAUGACGUAAGUCCAAAGAUUUAUCGCCGAAGGAUGAGCCCGCGUAGGAUUAGGUAGUUGGUGGGGUAAUGGCCCACCAAGCCGACGAUCCUUAGCUGGUCUGAGAGGAUGAUCAGCCACACUGGGACUGAGACACGGCCCAGACUCCUACGGGAGGCAGCAGUGGGGAAUAUUGGACAAUGGGCGAAAGCCUGAUCCAGCAAUGCCGCGUGAGUGAUGAAGGCCUUCGGGUUGUAAAGCUCUUUUACCAGGGAUGAUAAUGACAGUACCUGGAGAAUAAGCUCCGGCUAACUCCGUG